UACGAAGGGGGCUAGCGUUGCUCGGAAUUACUGGGCGUAAAGGGAGCGUAGGUGGACAGUUUAGUCAGAGGUGAAAGCCCAGGGCUCAACCUUGGAAUUGCCUUUGAUACUGGCUGUCUUGAGUACGGAAGAGGUAUGUGGAACUCCGAGUGUAGAGGUGAAAUUCGUAGAUAUUCGGAAGAACACCAGUGGCGAAGGCGACAUACUGGUCCGUUACUGACACUGAGGCUCGAAAGCGUGGGAGCAAACAGG
rnacentral:rRNA from 1 species